rnacentral:lncRNA from 1 species
CCUCUCCCUGCCUCCUUCAACAGGGUUUCCCCUUCAGGCCUCCGGGGUCCCCUCCCCAUACCUGAGCUCGCUGGCCUCCUCCCGCUACCCCCCAUUCCCUUCUGACUACCUGGCCCUGCAGCUGCCCGAGCCCAGUCCCCUGAGGCCCAAGCGGGAGAAACGGCCCCGCCUGCCCCGGAAACUCAAGGGGAGCGGGAGUCCCUGAAGGGCCAGGGGAGUGAGGAGAUGGAAGGAAGGGAGUCCAAGCAGAGGAAGGAUAGCUGUGAAGACAGAAGCAGGUUGGUUCUGUCAGGCCUGAGUUGGACUUGGCCAGCUUUGAAUCCCAGCUCUUCCAGUGCUCACCAUGCGACCUCAGCGUUGUCAUUUCACUCUUUAAGCCACAGCUCUCUUUCUCCAUUCAGUGGCGGCAUUGUGCGGAGAAUGUGAGUGAAGGGAUGAAAAUCGCUCGGCCCGUGCCUGGCCCCUAGUAAGCCACAGAGAAAUGUGAGCCGCUGCCAGUCAGGCUGAGAGGACGCCACUGAGGAAGUCCAGGCCAGGGUGGGACAUGCUGCGCACAGUGGGGAAGGAGAGGAGGUGGCCAGAGGAGGGGAUGGUCCUUUCCAGUCAUACACGCAUGUCUGCUUGUGUGUGUACAUGUGGGGGCCUGGUGCAGGGCGUGGGGGUGCUGUUCAGAGUUGGACCCCCCAUCAUCCAUCCUGCCAGCCUCCUAUACCCUGAGGCCUGACCCACCCUGGCCCCCACACCACCCCAGCAGCGGAGAUGAGGGUAAGUGAGGGCUCCUUAGGAAGCAGAGAGGAGGCCACAGGGCCAAAUGUGACACUCAGAAGGGCCACUGGAGACCACGCAUGGCGUUUCCUGCCAGCCCACUCAGCAUCUAGCCCAGGGCCAGACUGGACACUGCCCCGCAGGACCCAGCAGGCCUAAGCCUCAGGACCUCCAUGUCCACACCAGGUUCAGCCUCCUCUGCUGGCACGUGACUUCUCCCCGUUUCCCGCCCCCCAGUGUCCUGAGGCUGGGAGGGCAUUAACAGAAACCACCUGACACACAGCAGGUGCCCAGUUUGUGCCCACAGACAAAGCACGGGGACUGCAGAGGAGACCCACAGAGCUCUCUAGGGAGGGUUUGUGAGGACCUGGCAGCGGGGGGGAGCUGAAGGGUUGAGCAGGGCAGAGGCCACUUCCCACCCUCAGAGGACAAAGCAGGACUUCUGACAAAUAGAGCAGGAUGCCCAGGGGGAGGGGCUGCCUGUCGUCCCGCAGGCGGCACUCCCGCCCCGAGGCCCCGAGUGGCACGGUGACGCGCUCAGGUCUGUGUUUUAGAGCGCGCGCUCUGGCUGCCGUGCGGAGGAGCUGGAUCUGGGAGAGGCUGCGGGCAGGGAGUCCAGUUAGGAGGCUGGGACCGCAGCCCAGAUGUUCAGCGAUGCAGGUAGCGGGGACGAUGCCUUGGAUGGAGACGAUGACCUGGUGAUCGACAUCCCGGAGUGACCGUGACAUCACGCCAUGCCCACCACGGCCCCGCCCGGCGCCCUCCCCGUGCCAGCACACACGAGUCCAGCUUCCUCGGAGGUGUUUAUUGAUGCCCAGCUGCCAUGCUCCGGCCACUGACACAACCAGAAAAGG